rnacentral:lncRNA from 1 species
GAGGAGCUCAAACUCAGGUGAGAUGGAAGUAACGCACGUGUGAAGCUGAGGAGAAGUUUUAUGUCCAAAGGUGCACGCGGAGUCUCCUGACUUGUAAUGGACAUUGAGAAGCUUUCAUAAGGUGAAUAUUUGUGUAUGCAACUGUUGAACUGCUUCGACAUGAUGUGGUGGGAUGUGUGUUUAUUUGAUAUGUUAAGCGGGAUCAGCGCAUUAGCGCAAAUUAGCAUGUAUUAGCUUUGUAGUAUCGGCUAAUGUUAUUGUCUAUUAUUGUGCAUGUUAAUGUUAUCGGCUAGCCUACGCUCAUAUAGACUUUGUGUGAUUAGUAAAUGAGUUAAUAGAAGAUCACGGAGAGACUCAAUGAUCUGUUAAUGUAUAGGGGAGAGUGGGGUAAGUUGAGCCACCCCCUGCUGCUUGGAAAUGGUAAAAAAAAUUGAACAUGUGACCAAAUAUUUAGGAGAUGGGCAUCAAUUCAUGGAGUCUGUGAAGGUUAGAAGCACAUGGAUGAAGGGGUUAGACAUUUAUUUACAAAAAAAAACAAAAACAUUUUUCACUCUUGAAAAUGAAUUUAGUCUGUCAUCAGUUUUAGUAGAAUUGUGUUCCAACCAGAAAAAGAUCAUUUUAAAUUUGUUUUAUACAUCAAUUGUGGUAUCUAUGAGCGGCAACAUGACGUCAAAAACCAACAUAAAAGUCCACCAUUUUGGCUUAGAGGACUACUAAAGUCAUAAUGGUAGUUCUGGGCUAAGGUGAACCAGUGGCUGAAUAGGGAUACGGCUGAACUUACUCCGCUCCUAUGGUCAACUUACCCCAUACACGGGGUAAGUUGACCACUGUAUUUGUCAGGCUAUAUUAUCAAGACAGUUUUGUUUACACUCAUUCUGUUGGUUUGCAUGGAUGAACAACAUCUUGAAAUAUAUGCAGAUACACUAGUUAGAGACAAAACUAUGAUUGCCUUGAUGUAGUGAUCCGAAAUAAGAAAAAUGGCUCAUUUUACCCCACUCUCUCCCUACAGUGAACCAGGAAGCUCUGAAGAGCAGAAGUCCCCCAACAAGCGCCCCAUGUGUCUGGACUGUUGCUGCUGUUAACUGUCCUGAGGGUGUUGGUCAUGACUCCCCUUGUCUUCACCUUAACCUUUCUCACUGCCUCUCAACCCAGCCAUGGAUUUGAAGUUGGAGGGAAGGUUUCGUGAGUAAAAGGUAACCAGCUUCUUUUCUAUACUUGCAAUAACUUGAUGUAGUAUUUAACUAAAUAAGAAUUCUUUGUGUCAUGUUUACACUUCAUUGAAAAAAAAAAAAUCAAUGAAUCCAGUCCACUCUCUCUUGUUUUUGGUCUUCUUCAGUGCACACACAGGCAGGUGCGAGUGGGUAGCUAUGGUUUUAGGGACACUGUUGGUCACUGAAAUGUUCUAUUGUAUUCCCAGUUAUUAAAAUCAAGUUUUAGUUAAAUGAUCACUUUUGCAGAGACUUUUCAGGACUGUGCUGCCUCACAGUGUGUGUCACAGAAACUUACCACAGUCUGAACUAUGUUUAAGUUUUAGAAAUAACGUAAUUCUUGCAAAUGUACAGAACAAAACUUAUGCUGUAGAUACAUAAUUAACAAACACAUGGCUGAAGCAGAGAUAUGUUAAUAUAUCAAAUAAUGCAAAGAGGACCAUACACACUAAAAGUGGUUUGAAGAAGAGAUAAAGUCAGUCUACUGUUGAGGUUAUUUUGCAGGCUGCAGUGUGGGUAUAGUUUCAGUAAAAAGGAUUAGUUUUGAAUGUGUAUUAAAUGAAUCAUCCCAUGGAUUGGCACAAUCAUCAAGGUCAUGAUUAACUAGGUCACUGAGUAAGAGUGGGACUGUUUCUACUCUGUUCACUCAGGCCAUUUAGAUGUGCAGCUAUUAAGAUGUAUGAAACAGUACAACUGCUUUGACUCAAAAUCAUUUCACAGGUGGUUAUGAGAGAUUAAAAUCAUCUUCAUAAACAGGAUCAUUUAUCACCAGAGUAGGCUCAUUAGACAGCAUGCAGUCUGGGCACAAAAUUUUGGACCGUACUUCUGUUAUUUAUUAUUAUUUAUAUUUGAUGAUCUCAUAUUGAUGUACUGUUUGCUCUAUGAGCCGAGCAUGAAAAAAUGACUUUUGUGAGGUCUAUUUUUGUGCAUUUGAAACACAGGUAAAGGGAAAAAGGCAUGCUCUGACAAGCCCAGCACUGAUGUACUUAAAAGGUCCCCGCUCAUCAGCAACCUUUCUGCUUGAUGUUUGAGUCUGGUCUGGUAAAAUGGAAAGACUUUACUCUGUAUUUUAUGCUGAAUUUACCAGCAGGUUGAGUUUAAUCAGCCUAUUACAUGAGUAAAAAAAAGACUCUAGAGUGUCUGGAGACCAUCUGUGUUUUCAUAUGAGGAAUAAUGUACUACAAGAGAAUAAUUAACCCCUGGAGGAUGACUGAAGAUCUACCUGUAACACAGAUUGUUUUCUUUAGAUCAACAGAUUUCCUAAUUAACAAAUGUCCCCCUUUGUUUGGGUGGGUGGGUGGAUGGGUGGGAUAUUCCGUCAGCAGUUUACUCCUAUUUUGGAGUUUUGACAGUGCAGUCUUGGCAGUGUAUUGGUUGUUGUCAAACCACUUAAGCAAGCUCAUCUGCUCACCACAAACAGUCUAGUAAGCCAAGUUCAUGUUGCGUGGCGUAGAAUGGAAAACACAAAUAAGGGACCAGACUGCCCAUCCCUGCAGGUUUUAGGCUGUGCGAAAGGGAAAAGCAGUGCUGGACUGUUGAUUUUGCAGAUUCUACCAUGGUCUGAUAAAGAGAGAUGAGGAUUUAAUCCUUUGGUUAAAAAAAAAAAAAAGUUUUGGUUCAAACAGUCAUGCAACUACAUGACCUCAUUUAAGGUCAGUGGUCUUUUUCAUAAUAAAUGUCAUCUGCAAAGGUUUUAUAGUUUGUUGAAAAUAUUUUAUCACAAAAAUUACUGGACUAAUCCCAACAUUUUUUUUUAAAAUCUUACUGGAUAUCCUGAACCGUCAGUCCUUAGUUAUGUGUCAAACAUGUAGUGAUACAUUAUGUAUAACAGAACUAUAUAUAACAGAUUCUACAAAUGGGCGAUUUCUCUGAAACGUUUCUAAAGCAACCAAUUCACAUUGUCUUGUGUUGAAGUGUGUUGUCUUUACUGGUCAUGGUCUUAGUUGUAUUAGUGAUAUUAGCUUGUAGCCUGAUGCUAUUUAGCUGGUGAACUGUGGUGAAAUGUGCCUAGAUGAGACUCUUGAGUAACUGCAGCUGUAACUAAUUAUUAACAUUCUCCUCGUGAGAAAUGCUAACUUGUCCUGUUUUGUACACCUCGGAGAGGACUGGUCGCCUGUUACUGACUUGCUUCCUUGAUACUGUUUAGUAGCAGUGAGUUUUCACAUUAGGGUCAGCUCUGUGAGCCCCCAGGAGACUGUAAUGAACUCAAAAGCACAGGGUGAGGAGGUAUUAUUUCUGAGGAUGACUUGCUGUUGUCAUCAGUAGUGGACAAUUUGAGGCAGAGGCCGGGCUUUUCUUUGUCAAAGGAAGCUGAGACUCAUGGUUGACUGACGGGCACACAUCUCCCCUGAGCAUUGACAGUCUGACAUGCCUUUCUUGCUCGUCAUGCUUGUCAGGCUGCCUUGUGGAGAUGCAGAAAAUUGUAUGUUGUCCUCUCAGUCUGGAAAAUGACGCUUUUUCAGUCACUUCAAUUAUUUUGAUCCAUUUGACCUACAUAAAGUACCAAAUUUUGAAAAGUGAUUUCCUUUACGUACUUACACAAGUGCCUCUUUUGUUUUUGCUCUUCCAUUCUAAGUAAACAUAUUCAAUGAAGAGCUUUUCUUAAGGUUCGGUACUCAACAUAUAACCACAAUAACUUUCUGUUCAACACUAACUACGAUUUAUGUGAGGAGAAGAAAGUUUUGAUUCAUUUCCAGGGUUUUUCCUGGCUCAAAUUGAGGCAGAGGUGGCACCAUCCUGACCAUGCGCCAUGACGCGCAUAUAUUUGUAAAUUCAACUGUCUCACUUUCUUUUACAGGCAACAUACUUUAAGUUCAGAGUUCAAAAAAGAGUGUGACCAUUAUCAUGUUAAAGCAUUCAUUUAUUAAAACUAUAUACAUACACAAAUCAGCUGGCAACUUUAAAUUGAAAGUACACUUCAUCCACACAUCUCGCAACCAGACAGAACAUUUCAGCCUCCUCUUUUUCAUUCUGUAGAACCUCCUCAUGCACUUCUUGUAGUCCAAGGCCUCCUGGUCUGGUCCAUCAACAGCCACCUUACAACAGACAUCCAAGUGCCUCUCCUUCAGUCUGUUCCACAGAGGUGUCUUCACCUUAAACAAAACAAUUCAUCAUGCAUUAAGUAUUUUUGUUUUUAUUCUGAUACAGACAUGAAGAGUGAUAGUGUUUUCAAUCAUAUAUUAUAUAUAUGUAUACGCUGCAGUGUCCUCCCUAAAAAAAAACGACAACUAAUUAUUUCUUAAACUAUCUAAACUAUGUUCUUUUAGUUUUAUUUAUUUUUUAUUAAUUAUUAGUUAUUAUUUAUUAGUUGAGUGUUUUUAGGUACUACCAUCUUUAAUAUAUUUCUCCUUCUCUUCUGCUGCUUUGUGAACGGCUAUCAUCUCAUGUCUUUUUAAUGUGUCCAGCCUGUAGUUGGUUGAUGGCUGUCUCACUAAGGAGGCAGCAAUUGCCUGCUGUGUUGGGGCACAGUGCUUUUGGCAUAAAUAGCAGUGCAUGCCUUCCUCAGUAUGCCUGAGCCAGGUAAAAUGAUUGAGCCAUUGCUUGUCAAAGCCACUGGCUCUGUGUUUUUGAGAAAAUCUGGAAAGAGGAAUAAAACCACGUACACGUUGGCUUUGCGUUGUUAUGCUCCUAAUUGGAAACUAAUUAAUUAAUUACCCUCGCCUCGCCGACUCGUCCUGUCCUGCAUUCUGACCCUCGCGAUCACCAGUCCCUUGUGAACUACUUUCAGACCUGACACAAAUUUCCACGUUGUCACCACUAUGAAUUAUAGCAUUUUAACUGCCUAUUACGUUUUUUCUCUGCUGUGUUUCACCUGGACUCUUGACUUUCCUCCUUGCGAGGUCGCUAAAGUACUGGCUGAUUUUGCCUGUCAUAUCUGCAACGCUAAAAAACGGAGGAAACUUUUUUUUUAAAUAAACACGUCAUGCUUGGAUGCAAAAAAGACAAGCAGUAUUUACCUGUUUGUACCAUCCGCCAGGGAAAAUCAGGACGCCGAUAGCACCAACUAGCGGGAAAAAAACUUGAAAAAACAUGAUUCGAUCCGUUUCUUCUUCGGUAGAUGCUUCAGGUCUUUCCGGUGCACUGCUGUUGAUAUAGCGCCUCAAUAGUGGCGCAACGCUGCAACUGCAGUUAAAAUACGUUGCUGCAGCAGAGGGACAUCAUACACUCAAUCAACACAGCUGGAGCUUUACGCUGUGUUGAGCGAAAUCAAUCGCUCUGGCCGGGGGCGGCACAAAAUUAGGUGGAGGCGGCCGCCACGCAAUUUUGAACGCAGGAAAAACCCUGAUUUCUCUAACUUGGUACAAAUUGGAGCAUUCACAGUGAUGUGUCUUUCCAUAUUUGUUUAGAGGUGAUCAAAGUCCCCCCCGCCCCCGUCAAUACUUAGGCCUCGUCUCAGCAGAGGUUAACACAAAUUAAAAUGCAUGACUGAUAUUGCAACAGGCCAGUAAUUUACCACAUGGUUUGCUGAUGCGUGGUAAUGAUCAGUAUUGAAUGCCAAGCAUGAUGUCUCAGAUUGCAGCUAUGGUUAUUAAUGCAUGAUGUCAAAACCAAGCGGAGAGCACGAGGAAAAAUGUACCCAGGAAUAUUUUCUUUGCCUUGAGAUCGUAGCUUUACAGUGAUUAUGACCCACUUAUGACCAUCAAAAUUGAGCUGUGCCACGUUCAAACAAAAUCUGUCGGUUACUGGAUCGCGUGAGAAGCUUUGGAUGGACGUCACCUGUCUGGUAUGAAGAGAUUUGGUUGAACAGUUUUCUGCUCUGUAACAAGAAAUCUAUUUUGAGCAUGAAAUUCCCCACAAGUGGAAGAAAAAUGCGGAGGAAAGGUUCUCUGGAGGUUGAACAGAGGCUAGAGAGCAAGAAAAGUAAUUCCCGCUGCAAAUUCUGCCGAGGUUAACCGCCCUCUCCAGCUAAUGACCCCUCAUGCCUCGUGUAUUUGACCUCCAUUGGUUGUGAUGUGACAAAUUCCCAGUAGAGGAAAGUGACAAAAAAACCUGUUUUACUCUUAAUAUUGGCUAAGAAGGGCAAGUGAAGAUUUCAUGUUUGGCUUGAUGCUGAUUUUUUACAAAAGAGCAUUCUGCAUUAGCAAUAUAGUCAAAAACCUCCUCUAGCAGUAAAACCUUAUUCCGUUGUUUCUACUAUCGUUUAGAUUUCUUGUGUAUGUAUUCAGAGUUUUUAUUCUCGUCAAAAAUUUUGCUUUGAUUGGGUGUUGGUGGUGAAAUUGUGGCACCUGUCUGGCUUGACGAAAGCCUCAUUAGACGGAGACUUGCUCAUCAUCAUGAUACACCAGAUGGCAGGCUCAGUACUUGGGGGUGAAACUGAUAAUUCUGAGGCUGCAUUUUAACACGAAACUUAAUUAAGACAUCAUAACACGGCUGACCCAGCUAAAAAUAUCACAGCAGGCUGAAAUGAUUAAUCAUAAUCAGUUUUCCAGCCAUAUUUUGCUGCCAUCACUUCACUGCUGGAGGAAUGAAAAACAGUCUGUCCUCUUUUCACACCAACCAGUGGCUUGGAUGAAUUUUGUUGAACAGAUUUUUUUUUUCUGCUUAAGGAUAGCUCUAACCAGCUAAAAGACUGUUGUUGUUGUUUUUAUUAUCUCAGAAAGUACCGUCAGCUUUUUAUAUCAGUGGAUAAAUAACUAAUUCAAACUGCUGUGCUGCACUAAAACGCUGACAUGCUCAGUCAUCUCAGGACUCUGUUUUGCUGUCAGCACAAACGUUCAAAACACCAACUUUAUUUGAGUGGAAAAUAUGUUGAUCCUGCCGAUUUUGAUUAAUUUCCUGUCCGUCUCUGUCAAACAGAUAUAUUUGCUUCUAUUAAUGAUGCUCAUUCCUCACAGCAUUUUUGUUUAACCCCUCCCACAGUUAGUGAGCUGGUCAACUCCUUUUCUUUGUAUUCAAUGUUAAAUAAAGAGGGGACGUUUGCUCCAAAGUGAAAAAAUAAAAGGAUAUUAUUCUUUAUCUCGUCUUAUCUGCUCUGACUCCAGCCACCCGGACAGUUAAUAUUAACUCGUGUUAUUACUGGCUGUUGUAAUAUAAGUUUAACUGUGAAAUUUCAUAAAUGUGAGGCUCUUUCAUUUAGAGUCAUUAUCACAUGAUGUUGAAAGAUGGCGACCUACUUUGUAGAUAUUAAAGGUUCAGGUCUGUGUAGCAAAAUGUUUUUUAUAGAUUCAACAUGAUUGUAGUUAUUAGGUUGCAUUUCUACGAAGUUUGUACUGCUAGGUGUUUCAGAUUUUAAGUACGACUAAAGCAGAAAAGUGUCUGGAUGUAACUCCAGCCUGUUUUUUCUUUCUUUUUUUCUUUUGUGUUCUUUUUCCUCCAAAUAGGCGAAAACAGCACAUCAUAAAUCACAUACGCUUAGAGUUCAUGUGGUGAAUUGAGAGUGGUUUCUUUUUGUUUAUCAAAGGCCAUUGAAAUGUGCAUAUAUUUUGUUGUUGUGGGAAGUUCAAAGAUAAUAGUAUUAUUUAUAUUCGGUCUUGUUUUGUGUUUUGGCUCAAUGAAAAGCUCACCGGUUGUUCUGCUGUAGUUUCUCUUGCGCUCCUCAUGGUGAGUUUAAUUUAGCUGCUCCAUGAAGAAUGCCUUUUCGUGCGGUGUACUUAUACUUUAUCUUCUUCUGCCAGGAUUUUACAUCAGACAAUGUUUGAAGUGUACAGAAAUAUGAAUGUUGUUUAGACUGUUCUGAGUAUUUCUCUCCCUCAUGAUAUCAAAGUUAAGUUGGAUCUCAAAUGGAACAAAUUAAACAGGUAUACUAUAUGUCAUUCGGGUAUAAUAAGCACAAACAUAAUAUUAAAUCUACAUUUAAAUACUCACAGUCAGCCAUACUCUGGUUCACACAAAUUAAUUCCUUUUAAUUUAUUGGCAUAUCAUGAACUUUCUAGUUAAACUGUAGUUUAUCUCUUUUAUCUAUUUUUAUUCCCAGAGUUUACUUAAUACUGUUCCUCCACAAUUAUAUAAUCACAUCCCAAAAAAUAAACCAAUAACACAGUCCAUGAUUUUCAAUUAUAAAGUAAUAAGUGGAAAUGUUGGCCUCUUUUUCAUUCUCUAGUGAAAACAGCUGCAGGGCUUUAUGGACAUUGUUAUCACGCAUUAUGUAAUCGUUCUCAUUAACAAGGGUGAGGGUCAAACAGUAAUUGCAGCGUGACCCUGAACCUGUGAGUGAGGCUGUUUGUGCUGUACCUUCCCCCAGUAAGUCAAAAGACACUAAAUAGGUUUUGCCUUCUGUGUUUAUGAAAGGAGUUACUCGGUGCCCAGAAGGAGUGUUUUGUUUGGCCACUCAGAGACCAUUUUUGGAGUUGUAUCUGGAUCUAGAUCAUGCUUACUAUACACUUUGGUAAAUAAAAAAAAAACACUAUACUUUUUCUUGCCUUUUCGAAGGAGCAUCUUCCAUUAGGCUGUGCUUCACUCAGUCCCAAUAUACCAUAUAUUUUGUACCUAUUUUUUUGUACCUCUUAAUUCUGUUUUUGUUUUUUUCUCUUUUUUUAACUUAUCUAUUGCACUAGAAACUCUGAGAAGCUCUGAGAAACUCUGUAAUCUCGUUGUACUUCAUUAUGAUGACAAUAAAGGGCAUUCUGAUAGGAGAUAGGAGGUGGCGCUCUUCUAGUUUAAGCUUUCUACAUUCAAUUGACCACCAUUGCAGCCACUACCACCAACUACUACGCGUAACUGAGAAUUCGAGAAUUCAGUGCAAGCAGAAAAUGUGAGCACAAAAGAUACUUAGUAGAGGGAUUUAGGAACCGCUUUUUAACUGUUGUUUCUCCGCACUCCUGCCUACAACUUACAGUAAAUAAAGCUGUUGAAUUGAAAUGACUCCUUAGUUUAACACAAGUGUGGAAGUGUGUGGCUUAUGUCUUGGCAAAUUAGUAUUGUGUGUUGGAUCUAGUGGGCAUCAACUCCUGUAUCAGUAGCCAGAUGGACUGCCAACGCCACAUGGUGAAUUACGCACACGACUAUCCACACGGUCAAGGUUACUAGAAGCAGAUUUGAUACUGAAAACAUACAACAAACAAACUUUUUUUUAAAGUAAAGUAGUGGUUGCAAUGAUUCCCAAAAUAGCAUAUAAUGUUAUUCUUUCUUUCUUUCUUUCUUUCUUUCUUUUGUUUAAUGUAUUUUUUCUCUUUUUCUUCUCUUAUUAAGGAUUCAUUCCACUUUGAAUUCAACUUUAUUUGCCCUAAGGAGUCUCUAGGUAGAGCUUCCCAAAAAGGAGGUUUUUCUUCACAUUGUUACCACAAGAAACGUUCUUCCCGUAAUCAAGUGCAGCAACAGGUGAAAACACAGCGAACUCCAUCAGACCAUCAUAUUAGGGCACUGCACUCUCUCCAGCUCUCUUGUCAGAUUUCAAAGAACCAAAGCCGGUCCCUCUCCCUCUCAUCUUCUCUUCCCCUUUCCUCUUUUCUCUCCUGUCACCUGAAAGGCCAUCUGUUAGUUUCCAUCUCUGCCUCUGUCUCUAAUGACUGAUCAAUACUAAAUUGGUGCCAAGAUCACAAGAUACUGUUUUUUUUUCUUUUUAGCAGGUAUCAUUUUUUCAAAGAUAUCUGAACCAAUAAGCGGUAAGAGUCAUGUUUAUAGCAUGUAUAGUGAAAAGCAGAGUAGUGCAGACCUGUAAUGAUUUAUAACAGAUAAAUACUGGCUGGUUUGUAUUUUCAAUGAGCAAAAAGUAUUUGUUCUUGUUUCCAGUCAACUGUAUGAUUGGUGUGUUUACACAGGGAGUUAUCCAUUCAGUCUUUUUCACUGUGCAGAUUAGUCUUGCUUUGGAGGCAAUAACCACAAAAUCUGGUCCGGACAUGAAAGCUUUAGGGGAUAAAAGCCUUUGUUUGUUCCUCAUUUUCAGUUAUAAAAAGAGGGAAAAGGGAAAGGGAAGUGAAUCACACGUAUGUAAUACACCUAAUAAAGGUGCAGUUCAUAUCCAAGACUAUUUACACAUGUGUUCUCUCUGGUUCUGUGGAAAAUGUUUUGGAAACUAACCCUGGGCUCUGCAUAUAUUGUACUUUUGGACAUUUGGUCUUUUUGAUCUGAGUGAGCACAUGCUUCACAGGAUAUUAAAGGGAAUUUUGAAGACAAUUCUGAGGUUACUUAACCAUUAUGAAAGCCAAAAAGCAGAAGCAAAUAAUUACAACAACGUAAUUCUGAUAAAUAUUGUUGUCAAAAACUGCCAGGAGGUGCAGUUUUCUGAACAGCUGGGUAGUCCUUGUCGAUCCUUUUAAUUAUAUUUCAUCAAAACAAGUUAAUGAAGAUUUUGACGCGUUUUCAGAAAGCUGUGAUCUGGCUGGUCUGUCUUCAGUAUUAUCAUUAUAAUGUUAGCAGUGUUACCAAAACUUUGACACACACUUCUGAAACCACCUUACUCUGUAUGUAGGACUUGGGGGACAAACUCUUGGUUGUUUCCCUUAUGAUAUAAAAUAAAGUCACGUACAGAAAUAAAUGUAAUAACAGUAAAAGGGACGCACUGAUGUGUCAGCUGAACAACAAUUUCUACUAAUAUUUGUCCUGUCCAGAGAUAUUGGCUUGUCUUAAUGUACUACACCAAUAUGUCCAACAUUAACCAACUGGUUCUCAUGAUAGUUAAUUUAAGCUUAAUUACCUAUUAAAUAGGGCUGUGACGAUACGCUUUUACCCCAAUUCGAUUCCUCUACGAUCUUUUGGAUGCUGAUUCGAUUUAAAUUGCAAUUCUACAAUAUUGUCAAUAUUUUUUCAAUUUUAGUCUGCAUUUUAAACACCAGUGAAAAAGUUGAAUGAUUAUGAUUGUCUACUGACUCUUCCAGGAACCAUAUUUCCCCCCAAAAUACACAUCACAUAUAAGUCAGAUUUUCAGAAUUUUUUUUAAAUUUGAAAAAAAAAAAAAGAUUUUUGAACAUAAAAAACGAUUUAAAAAUUGUAAAACAAAAAACUGCGAUACUUAUGUGAAUCGACUUUUUUCUCCCACCCCUACUAUUAAACUACUUUUAAUCUCUGCUGUUCUUAUUCUCUUCAAGAGUUUCUUAUCGUUUUAGUCCUGUUUUUACCAUUUUAUUCAUUUAUUUAUUUCCUUUCUCCUUUAUCUGUCCUUUAUCCAACUUUUUUCCAUCUUCUUGAUGUGAUGCUUUCAAUCAUCAACUGUCAUCAAUUUAUCUUUGUUUCUGCAAAUCUGAGUCUUUAAGUCUUUGCUUGACCUGAUCGUUAAUUUAUUCUUUACUGAGUUCUGCCUUUCUUUUAUCUGUUAAAGCACUUUCUAAACGUCUGAAUUUAAAGUUACAAUAUAAAUAGAAGUUAUUAUUAUAAUAUUAUUAUUAUUUAGAGGUUUAUGUAAUGUCCAGGCUUUCUUCAGGUACACACCAAGGGGUUAACUUUUUUCACUUUCUCUUAUAAUUUUGGCAUGAAGACAUCCUACCUUCUUCACUUCUAUUUUCUACUUUUACUCACCAUUUGGAUGUCCAUCACUGCUUUUCUAAACUCUGGUCAAGCCUAUUAUUUGGCUCGGGAUGUGCAACUUUAUUCUAGUUGGGGGUAUUUUUAGAGCACAAUGACAUCUCAGACAGCUUAAACCAACUUUGUGGCUGCAGUUUGAGAAACAUCAGUUCCCUCUUCCUCCUUAGCUACUGGCUCAGUUGCAUUCAAGACUCUGGCCUGACAGCAAAUGAGUGCAAAACAGGUUUGACAUACACCACAGUUGGCAUAAAAUGUCAGACCUGCAUAUGCGUAAUGAAGUUGAGAUGAGGUUUUGUGAACAGCUGGGCUCUCUGCCUGCCAUGCAAAUCAUGCAGGCAUACUGUUUCUGAAUCCCUGCUGAAGGGUUAGGUGGCACAUAUUCAAAUAUUAGACUUCCUAUUCUGAAUUCAGUCUAUACCUAUAUGUGGCAGAAUGGGACAAUAAUAAUAGCAUACCAAAUACCAAAUAGAUACCAAAUACUGCCCUUGUUAUGAGACCUUGGAUAAUAAUGCAAAAAUGGGGCAGGUUUUAAAAAGGGGACUGAUAUCCUGACCAGCUGGUUUAGGUGUUAUUAACUCAUAGAUGGUCAUUAUCAGUCAUCAUAUAGAGCAUGAAUAAAAGGCAGUGUUUUGGGGGGGAUUAUAAUGCUUUUCCAUAUGCAGUGUUUGAAUGUUUGGUGUCCAUACUAGAUGUAUGCAAAGCUCCAAAUCACGAGGUAAACAUAUUCUGUCAUAAUGAUAGCAAAUAUAUGUAAACUGCUCAAGUUGAGGGCCAACAGCAACCCCCAAAAUGUGAAUUUUUAUAGAAAACUUGAGCAUUUUUACAGCCUGGUAGAAACAAUGGUUUUGAUCUUAAUAGCGCCUUUAUGGUUUUUUAACAACUCCAGCAUUUUGGUUACAUUAAGGCUUAGAGUUGUGUAUAAAAAUUUACACAACAGGCGAGGUGGCUCGCCUUAGCCUCACAUCUUUGCUGCUUUGUGACUGGAAGUUAUUUCGAGUAAGAUUAAGCGUUUGGGGUGCGGUAACCCUUACGUUCGGGCUUUAAAAUGCAUCUUUAGGAAAUGAUUCUUGAUGUCACUCAUUCAUGCCUGAAGAAGAAUUAAUUAAAGCUGCUGUGAGGAGUUUUUCAUUCGUUGUGAAAUGGACUCAAGUUCACACUGCUACAUUUUUAGGAUCUACAAAAGCAAACAAGGUCAUCGGCCAAAAGAUCGAUUAUUUCUCCAUUGUAAUAUUUAAUGCCUGAAACCACUUUGAGGGCCCAGGUUUCAGACAGAACGAUAGAUGGCACACCUUAACAUUUAACUCUUACAAAGAAAAGCAGGAUGCAAUUUUUAGUUGUAUAAUUCCAUCUAGGCAUGUACAAAACAAGCCAUGAGGUGCUACUUUUGUCCACAAGGGGGUGCCAGAAUCAGCACAAACCAACAGUUUCUUACAGCAGCUUUAAAAAAACAAGGAGCAUAAUCGAGGAGCAAAAACUGAUCCUGCACCUUCAACAAAUCAGAAAGACAUUUUUGUUAAUUGUAUCUAUCCCAUCAAACAGAUUGAACAAUGGAACAUUCGCUGAUCAACUUACAGUAUUUUACUCUUAAUAAUUCUCUAAAUGUUCUUGUUAAUUAUGAAGAUAAUCAUUUAUUAAAGGCAUAGAAAGAAAAUGCUUAUUAGAAGUGGGAGGCCAAAAUUAGAAAGGAGAAGAGAAAAAAAGGAAAAUGCUUAUGAUGCUGAGAUAAUUCCCUUGUCUUCAGUCCUCCCUGAAAAAUAUGUCUGAACUCUAAAGAGCUCAAUUAUAAACACUGCGGCUAAAGUUAGAUCAGUUAUAUGCCAGAAAAGCCAAAGGAGCAAUUACACUCUCAAGUGGGUUGAAGAGGGGGCGCAGAAGUCCAGUCUCUUUUACACGCUGGAUAAACAAAGGCCAAAUAAAAAUGGUAUAAGACCACUCUCUUAACGGCACAGUGGUAAACAAGCCAAAAGAUGUGUGAAUAACUACUAGAGUUUAUUUCAUUCAGUGGAUGAAUUUUGAUUGAUAUUCAUAAUCUUUAUUUUAUAGAGGUGAUGCAAUGUUGUAAUAAUAUCAGUGUCUGUGGCACUGAACUCUGCAGAGAGGUAGAGCGAUUGAAGGGUGUGUGCCCUGAGUAGCAGCAAAACCACCCCCUCCCUGUGGAGUCCAGACACCGGAGAUGGAGGUGUUGAAUGACGCCGUCGUCUGAGCCUGAUGAGAUGAUGGAGUUGCACAAAACUAUGAUGGCUGAGUGGUGAUUUGGGAGACGACUGAUGAAGUCAUCCAGGGUUGAUGAAGCUGAAGAGCCGUGAAGAGUCUGCCGCCAUGGACAGAUUGCUGACAACUAUAUCUACUACUGAUUAAACAGACGAGGCUGUGAGUCAGAAAUACAAAACAGUGUUGGCUUUAAAGAGGAAGUUCCUGAACUUUUCCGUGCACUCCCGCUGGUGUGACUGACCUACCAUUUAAUGUUUAAUGAUGUUUUCUGUGUAACUUUUCUUUGUUGUGUUUCAUACUGUCAGCUGUCAAUGCUUCUGGACACAGAACACAUACCCACCUCUCCCUGUCUGCCUCACUGUGAACCUAAGAGCUAAAUAAACUCAUAUCUGUCUUGUG